rnacentral:lncRNA from 1 species
CGGGGUACCUGUAUCUGCAUCAUAAUAAGAUGCAGGCCAACUGGCAUCAGUACAUGGAAUGUACGAGUAUGCGAGCUGGAACUAAGCAACAAAGGCUAGGAGGAGAUCUGGAGAUCUGGAGGAAACUGAAUAGCUUACCUGGCUCAACUCAACUCAACCUGACUGACUUCUUUCAAUAUAAGGCAAUUUAAAACAAGUGCGAUAUAAAGAAAGACUGUUUAAAACAUGCUAUAAACUCUGUGUGUAUGCAAAGAUACAAUAAGCCUGAGAUGUAUAUAGAAAUACAAAUGAACUGAUGUAUAUAAAAUACAAUACUUUCUGUGUAUGAAAAUACAAUAACUGCUGUGGGAGUUUCUCUAACCGACAACCAUCACAUAAGAGCUAUAGUGAUGAUACAGCGAUCGACCUCACGCUGCCAGAGCAUCCUAUUCCCGGCCAAAGGUAUAGGACCUGAACUGCCUAAUGGAUCCACUAGUCUAAUCUGAAAAGGAUUCAUCUAAAAAGUAUGAUCCUUUUCUACCCAUGA